UACGAAGGGUGCAAACGUUGCUCGGAAUUAUUGGGCGUAAAGCGCACGUAGGCGGCUUAGCAAGUCGGAUGUGAAAUCCCUCGGCUCAACCAAGGAAGUGCAUCCGAAACUGCUGAGCUUGAGUACGAAAGAGGAUCGCGGAAUUCCCGGUGUAGAGGUGAAAUUCGUAGAUAUCGGGAGGAACACCAGUGGCGAAGGCGGCGAUCUGGGGAAGAUACUGACGCUGAGGUGCGAAAGCGUGGGGAGCAAACAGG
rnacentral:rRNA from 1 species